rnacentral:rRNA from 1 species
GAUGAACGCUGGCGGCGUGCCUAAUACAUGCAAGUCGAGCGAACAGACGAGAAGCUUGCUCCUCUGACGUUAGCGGCGGACGGGUGAGUAACACGUGGAUAACCUACCUAUAAGACUGGGAUAACUUCGGGAAACCGUAGCUAAUACCGGAUAAUAUAUUGAACCGCAUGGUUCAAUAGUGAAAGACGGUCUUGCUGUCACUUAUAGAUGGAUCCGCGCCGCAUUAGCUAGUUGGUAAGGUAACGGCUUACCAAGGCAACGAUGCGUAGCCGACCUGAGAGGGUGAUCGGCCACACUGGAACUGAGACACGGUCCAGACUCCUACGGGAGGCAGCAGUAGGGAAUCUUCCGCAAUGGGCGAAAGCCUGACGGAGCAACGCCGCGUGAGUGAUGAAGGUCUUCGGAUCGUAAAACUCUGUUAUUAGGGAAGAACAUAUGUGUAAGUAUCUAUGCACGUCUUGACGGUACCUAAUCAGAAAGCCACGGCUAACUACGUG